rnacentral:rRNA from 1 species
GCCUAAUACAUGCAAGUCGAGCGAACGGACGAGAAGCUUGCUUCUCUGAUGUUAGCGGCGGACGGGUGAGUAACACGUGGAUAACCUACCUAUAAGACUGGGAUAACUUCGGGAAACCGUAGCUAAUACCGGAUAAUAUUUUGAACCGCAUGGUUCAAAAGUGAAAGACGGUCUUGCUGUCACUUAUAGAUGGAUCCGCGCUGCAUUAGCUAGUUGGUAAGGUAACGGCUUACCAAGGCAACGAUGCAUAGCCGACCUGAGAGGGUGAUCGGCCACACUGGAACUGAGACACGGUCCAGACUCCUACGGGAGGCAGCAGUAGGGAAUCUUCCGCAAUGGGCGAAAGCCUGACGGAGCAACGCCGCGUGAGUGAUGAAGGUCUUCGGAUCGUAAAACUCUGUUAUUAGGGAAGAACAUAUGUGUAAGUAACUGUGCACAUCUUGACGGUACCUAAUCAGAAAGCCACGGCUAACUACGUGCCAGCAGCCGCGGUAAUACGUAGGUGGCAAGCGUUAUCCGGAAUUAUUGGGCGUAAAGCGCGCGUAGGCGGUUUUUUAAGUCUGAUGUGAAAGCCCACGGCUCAACCGUGGAGGGUCAUUGGAAACUGGAAAACUUGAGUGCAGAAGAGGAAAGUGGAAUUCCAUGUGUAGCGGUGAAAUGCGCAGAGAUAUGGAGGAACACCAGUGGC